AUGGAUUGACUUCCCAGGAUCCUCAGUUAUCAAAACAGUCAUCAUCAUGUAUUCUUUUUUCAUGCAUUUCCAAGGCGGCAAAUUAUAUGGGAAUACGAAAAUCGGCCAAGUGCUGUGGUGUUGGUUUAGAACCCCAUAUGGAUUGAAUCCGUCAGUGGCAAGUCCCAAUCUCACAUUUCGGGGAUCAGCAGCAAACUCGGGGAACGUUCGAUCGAACUCUUUCCAUGCCUCCCCAUCUGCAGGAUGCCGCAUCACAUCAUCGUCUACCCGUUUUUCCUUAUGCCAUUUCAUGUCUAUGGCAGUAUGCGUCGACAUAUACAAUCGCUGCAACCUACGUUUCAGGGGCAGAUAACGCAUGACUUUUUGU
rnacentral:lncRNA from 1 species